UAUCAAAUCUUCGGAGCCUUGGGAUGAGCCUGCGUCUGAUUAGGUAGUUGGCGGAGUAAUAGCCCACCAAGCCUACGAUCAGUAGCUGGUCUGAGAGGAUGAUCAGCCACACUGGAACUGAGACACGGUCCAGACUCCUACGGGAGGCAGCAGUAAGGAAUAUUGCUCAAUGGGGGAAACCCUGAAGCAGCAACGCCGCGUGAAGGAUGAAAUACUUUUGUAUGUAAACUUCUGUAAAGAUGGGAAAAAUAUUCUCCUCGGGAGAAUUGAUUGUACCAUCAGAGUAAGCCCCGGCUAACUACGUG
rnacentral:rRNA from 1 species